UCAGAGGCACUGGAGGCAGAGCCACUCCAUCUUGAAUAGGGGCUGGGUAACAUGAGGCUGAGACCUGCUGGGCUGCAUUCCCAGGAGGUGUGUGAGGCAUUCAUAGUCACAGGAUGAGACGGGAGGUCGGCACAAAGCCCUCGGUGAUAAAACAGGUUGCAGUACAGAAACCGGCGAGAUCCCACCCAAACCAAGAUGGUGACAAGAGUGACCUCUGGUGGUCUUCACUGCUACACUCCCACCAGCGCUGUGACAGUUUACAAAUGCCAUGGGAACGUCAGGAAGUCUCCCUGUAUGGUCUAAAAAGGGAAAGAAUGAAUAAUCCACCCCUUGUUUAGCAUAUCAUCAAGAAAUAACCAUAAAAAUGGGAAACCAGGAGACCUCGGGGCUGCUCUGUCUAUGGAAGAGCCAUUCGUGUAUUCCUUUUCUUUCUUAAAAAACUUGCUUUCACUUUAUGAACUCACUCAGAAUUCCUUCCUGCACGAGCUCCAAGGACCCUCUCUUGGGGUCUGGAUCUGGACUCCUUUCCAGUAACACAGCUAUUAACAUUAAAGUGUUAAUUGACUGCAAAUGCCAGGGAAAAGAGAUGAAAUGGUGAAGUAUGAAGUAUGACCUUCCGGGAGCCUCCACCAGAAAAGGAAGAAAGUCUCAGACCGGCAUUCGUACAAUCCCUAAACACACCGCACAUGCUCACUUUCCAAGGAGACGAGGUUUCAUCAUGUUGCACAGGCUCAUCUCCAUCUCCUGAGCUCAAGAGAUCCACUCACCGUGGCCUCCCAAAGUGCUGAGAUUACAGGCAUGAGCCACCGCAGCUGGCCUGAACUGUACUCUUGAAAAUGGUUAAGAUAAUAAAUUUAAUGUUUUGUGUUUGCACUACAAUAAAACAUAGAGAGACCCCAGUUUAUGUUGCUUCAACUCUUGCCUCCUUUUCCUAUAUUUUUCUCUUCCGUUUUCUCCUCUCCUCCCUUUUUGUUACCCCCACUUUCCCCUGAACCUUGACAUAUUGCAAAGCCUUGCAAAAUAAACUGUUCUGAGAGUUGCUGAAAAGGGAUUGCACCCAUAAUACCAUGAAAGAGGUAUUGAAACCACAGCAACGACAGUCUCCAAUGGACACGAUGCCAGGUUUUGCAACAGCUGAAGAUGAAGAAAAGUGUAAUUUGUUUUUUGGUUUUUGUUUUUUUUUUUGAAACAGAGUCUUGCUCUGUUGCGCAGGCUGGAGUGCAGUGACACGAUCUCGGCUUACUGCAACCUCCGCCUCCAAGGUUCAAGCGAUUCUCCUGCCUC
rnacentral:lncRNA from 10 species